rnacentral:rRNA from 1 species
UCGGGAAUUUUGGGCAAUGGGCGAAAGCCUGACCCAGCAACGCCGCGUGAGGGAUGAAGUAUUUCGGUAUGUAAACCUCGAAAGAAUGGGAAGAAUAAAUGACGGUACCAUUUAUAAGCUCCGGCUAACUACGUGCCAGCAGCCGCGGCAAUACGUAGGGAGCAAGCGUUGUUCGGAUUUACUGGGCGUAAAGGGCGCGUAGGCGGCGCGGUAAGUCACUUGUGAAAUCUCUGAGCUUAACUCAGAACGGCCAAGUGAUACUGCUGUGCUAGAGUGCGGAAGAGGCAACCGGAAUUCUUGGUGUAGCGGUGAAAUGCGUAGAUAUCAAGAGGAACACCUGAGGCGAAGGCGGGUUGCUGGGCCGACACUGACGCUGAUGCGCGAAAGCCGGGGGAGCAAACG